UACAGAGGGUGCAAGCGUUGUUCGGAAUUAUUGGGCGUAAAGCGCGUGUAGGCGGCUUAAUAAGUCGGGUGUGAAAGCCCUCGGCUCAACCGAGGAAGUGCGCCCGAAACUGUUUUGCUUGAGUCCCGGAGAGGGUGGCGGAAUUCCCCAAGUAGAGGUGAAAUUCGUAGAUAUGGGGAGGAACACCGGUGGCGAAGGCGGCCACCUGGCCGGAUACUGACGCUGAGACGCGAAAGCGUGGGUAGCAAACAGG
rnacentral:rRNA from 1 species